CCUUUCAAUGCAGCAGAAUUGGGAUGGUUGAGUAUCUCGCCUUUCAAUUCUGCCUGUAUUCCACCCUUGUUUCUCUUACACUAUUAUUUCCUCGGCAGGCUUGCCUGCCGAGUGAAACCAAUUAUAACCUAUUUAAUUUUCAAUCAGCGUCUGAAAAAAUUAAUAAUUACAACUUUCAACAACGGAUCUCUUGGUUCUGGCAUCGAUGAAGAACGCAGCGAAAUGCGAUAAGUAGUGUGAAUUGCAGAAUUCAGUGAAUCAUCGAAUCUUUGAACGCACAUUGCGCCCCUUGGUAUUCCAUGGGGCAUGCCUGUUCGAGCGUCAUUUGUACCUUCAAGCUUUGCUUGGUGUUGGGUGUUUGUCCUUUCUCUUGCAGAGGGACUCGCCUUAAAGUGAUUGGCAGCCAGUGUUUUGGUUUUGAAGCGCAGCACAAGUCGCGAUUCAAAGCUACACGCCAGCUUCCACAAGCCUUUUUCACU
rnacentral:misc_RNA from 1 species